UACGGGGGGGGCAAGCGUUGUUCGGAAUUACUGGGCGUAAAGGGCUCGUAGGUGGCCAACUAAGUCAGACGUGAAAUCCCUCGGCUUAACCGGGGGAACUGCGUCUGAUACUGGAUGGCUUGAGUUUGGGAGAGGGACGCGGAAUUCCAGGUGUAGCGGUGAAAUGCGUAGAUAUCUGGAGGAACACCGGUGGCGAAGGCGGCGUCCUGGACCAACACUGACACUGAGGAGCGAAAGCCAGGGGAGACAAACGGGG
rnacentral:rRNA from 1 species